AAGGAGUUGAACAUUUAUGCGAGUGUUUGGGUGUCAAACCCUCACGCGUAAUGAAAGUGAACGGAGGUGAGAGCCCGUACGGGUGCAUCAUCGACCGAUCCUGAUGUCUUCGGAUGGAUUUGAGUAAGAGCAUAACUGUUCGGACCCGAAAGAUGGUGAACUAUGCGUGGAUAGGGUGAAGCCAGAGGAAACUCUGGUGGAGGCUCGCAGCGGUUCUGACGUGCAAAUCGAUCGUCAAAUUUGGGUAUAGGGGCGAAAGACUAAUCGAACCAUCUAGUAGCUGGUUCCUGC
rnacentral:misc_RNA from 1 species